rnacentral:rRNA from 1 species
UACGUAGGAGACGAGCGUUGUCCGGAGUUACUGGGCGUAAAGGGCGCGUAGGCGGACGGUCCAGUCGGGGGUGAAAUCUUUCCGCUUAACGGGAAAAGUGCCUCCGAUACUGAUCGUCUCGAGGGAGGUAGGGGCAUGUGGAACUUCCGGUGGAGCGGUGAAAUGCGUAGAUAUCGUCUGGAACGCCGAAGGUGAAAACAGCUCGCUGGGGCUGCGCUGACGCUGAGACACGAAAGCCAGGGGAGCGAACGGG